rnacentral:rRNA from 1 species
CCUACGGGAGGCAGCAGUAGGGAAUCUUCCGCAAUGGGCGAAAGCCUGACGGAGCAACGCCGCGUGAGUGAUGAAGGUCUUCGGAUCGUAAAACUCUGUUUUUAGGGAAGAACAUACGUGUAAGUAACUGUGCACGUCUUGACGGUACCUAAUCAGAAAGCCACGGCUAACUACGUGCCAGCCGCCGCGGUAAUACGUAGGUGGCAAGCGUUAUCCGGAUUUAUUGGGCGUAAAGCGAGCGUAGGCGGUAUUUUAAGUCUGAUGUGAAAGCCCUCGGCUCAACCGGGGAAGGUCAUUGGAAAAGGGCAAACUUGAGUGCAGAAGAGGAGAGUGGAAGUCCAGGUGUAGCGGUGAAAUGCGCAGAGAUAUGGAGGAACACCAGUGGCGAAGGCGACUCUCUGGUCUGUAACUGACGCUGAGGUGCGAAAGCGUGGGGAGCAAACAGGAUUAGAGACCCGGGUAGUC